rnacentral:rRNA from 1 species
AUUGAACGCUGGCGGCAGGCCUAACACAUGCAAGUCGAACGAGUGGCGGACGGGUGAGUAAUGUCUGGGAAACUGCCCGAUGGAGGGGGAUAACUACUGGAAACGGUAGCUAAUACCGCAUACCAUCGGAUGUGCCCAGUGGGGAUUAGCUAGUGGGUGGGGUAAUGGCUCACCUAGGCGACGAUCCCUAGCUGGUCUGAGCGGUUGACCAGCCACACUGGAACUGAGAAACGGUCCAGACUCCUACGGGAGGAAGCAGUGGGGAAUAUUGCGCAAUGGGCGCAAGCCUGAUGCAGCCAUGCCGCGUGUAUGAAGAAGGCCUUCGGGUUGUAAAGUACUUUCAGCGGGGAGGCGUUACCAGCAGAAGAAGCACCGGCUAACUCCGUGCCAGCCGCCGCGGUAAUUC